AUUACUUUUUGGACUGAGCCUUGGGAAGGCGAAAGUCCCCAUACAAAAAGUCGAAACUAGGUCUUUCUUUCUUUCUUUCUUU
rnacentral:RNase_MRP_RNA from 13 species